rnacentral:rRNA from 1 species
UACGUAGGUGGCAAGCGUUGUCCGGAAUUAUUGGGCGUAAAGCGCGCGCAGGCGGUUCUUUAAGUCUGAUGUGAAAGCCCACGGCUCAACCGUGGAGGGUCAUUGGAAACUGGGGGGACUUGAGUGCAGGAGAGAAGAGUGGAAUUCCACGUGUAGCGGUGAAAAUGCGUAGAGAUGUGGAGGAACACCAGUGGCGAAGGCGACUCUUUGGCCUGUAAACUGACGCUGGAGGCGCGAAAGCGUGGGGAGCAAACAGG